rnacentral:rRNA from 1 species
GAUGAACGCUGGCGGCGUGCCUAAUACAUGCAAGUCGAGCGAACAGACGAGGAGCUUGCUCCUCUGACGUUAGCGGCGGACGGGUGAGUAACACGUGGAUAACCUACCUAUAAGACUGGGAUAACUUCGGGAAACCGGAGCUAAUACCGGAUAAUAUAUUGAACCGCAUGGUUCAAUAGUGAAAGACGGUUUUGCUGUCACUUAUAGAUGGAUCCGCGCCGCAUUAGCUAGUUGGUAAGGUAACGGCUUACCAAGGCAACGAUGCGUAGCCGACCUGAGAGGGUGAUCGGCCACACUGGAACUGAGACACGGUCCAGACUCCUACGGGAGGCAGCAGUAGGGAAUCUUCCGCAAAGGGCGAAAGCUUGACGGAGCAACGCCGCGUGAGUGAUGAAGGUCUUCGGAUCGUAAAACUCUGUUAUUAGGGAAGAACAAAUGUGUAAGUAACUAUGCACGUCUUGACGGUACCUAAUCAGAAAGCCGCGGCUAACUACGUG